CGGGGUGAAGGCGCUGCGCGAUUGGUUACGGCGUCUCCUUCUCAUUGGUCUCCGGGAGGAACGGCGCGUCCCGCCUCCCAAGUCUCAUAGGCGCCGCCGGCCGCUCGUCCAGAGCGUGAGUUCCUGAGUGGGUGAAGCAGUGGUCCCUGGAAACAGUUCCGGGAAACCCCGCGUGUUGCCGGGGUCGCGCCGCCGUCCAUGAGGAGAAGGAGGAGCGCGCGCCAUUUGCCGUCGCUGCUUGGGCCCGAGCUGCGCCGUGCAGGCCCCGCUCCGCUCCUGAAUUUUUUCCAGCAGCAUAAUAAAAUGGCUAAUCAGGUGAAUGGUAAUGCGGUACAGUUAAAAGAAGAGGAAGAACCAAUGGAUACUUCCAGUGUAACUCACACAGAACACUACAAGACACUGAUAGAGGCAGGCCUCCCACAGAAGGUGGCAGAGAGACUUGAUGAAAUAUUUCAGACAGGGUUGGUAGCUUAUGUCGAUCUUGAUGAAAGAGCAAUUGAUGCUCUUAGGGAAUUUAAUGAAGAAGGAGCCCUCUCUGUAUUACAGCAGUUUAAAGAAAGUGACCUGUCGCAUGUACAGAACAAAAGUGCAUUUUUAUGUGGAGUUAUGAAGACCUACAGGCAAAGAGAGAAACAAGGCAGCAAAGUACAGGAAUCAACGAAGGGACCAGAUGAAGCAAAGAUUAAGGCUUUGCUAGAGAGGACUGGCUACACUUUGGAUGUAACUACCGGACAGAGGAAGUAUGGGGGCCCUCCUCCAGAUACUGUAUAUUCUGGUGUUCAGCCUGGUAUUGGAACAGAGGUUUUUGUUGGUAAGAUUCCCCGAGACUUGUAUGAAGAUGAAUUGGUACCACUCUUUGAGAAAGCUGGUCCAAUUUGGGAUCUGCGCCUCAUGAUGGAUCCUCUUUCUGGUCAAAACAGAGGUUACGCUUUCAUUACCUUUUGUAGUAAAGAUGCAGCACAGGAAGCAGUCAAACUGUGUGACAACUAUGAAAUCCGUCCUGGGAAGCACCUUGGAGUAUGCAUCUCUGUGGCAAACAACAGGUUAUUUGUUGGGUCAAUUCCAAAGAACAAGACUAAGGAAAACAUAUUGGAAGAGUUCAGUAAAGUCACAGAGGGUUUGGUGGAUGUAAUCUUGUAUCAUCAACCUGAUGAUAAGAAGAAGAAUCGAGGUUUCUGCUUCUUGGAAUAUGAGGAUCACAAGUCAGCAGCACAAGCUCGCCGCCGCCUGAUGAGUGGGAAAGUAAAAGUCUGGGGAAAUGUUGUGACAGUGGAAUGGGCUGAUCCAGUAGAGGAACCUGACCCAGAAGUCAUGGCAAAGAGUGAGAUGAAGGUGAAGUUCAGUGUAGGGAAUGAUGUGCUCUUUAUCCCUGCGUUUUGGGAUAACUCUUUGCUACUCUUGAGGCCUAUUAUGAAAAUUUUACUGGGAUUUGUAGCAUCCCAGAAGCAGAAAAUCAAAGCUGGAUAUCCUUCUGGUCAUGGAAGGGAACUGUGGAAGGAGAGAAGUUGUAGAAACUUCAUACAGGUGAAAGUUUUAUUUGUAAGAAACUUGGCCACUACUGUGACAGAAGAAAUCCUUGAGAAAUCCUUUUCUGAAUUUGGAAAGCUGGAAAGAGUAAAGAAGUUGAAGGAUUAUGCUUUUGUUCAUUUUGAGGACAGAGGUGCAGCAGUGAAGGCUAUGAAUGAAAUGAAUGGGAAAGAGAUAGAAGGGGAAGAAAUUGAAAUAGUGUUAGCAAAGCCACCGGAUAAGAAAAGGAAAGAACGUCAGGCUGCCAGACAGGCUUCCAGAAGUACUGCGUAUGAAGACUAUUAUUACUACCCUCCACCUCGCAUGCCACCUCCUAUUAGAGGCAGAGGCCGUGGAGGGAGAGGUGGAUAUGGCUAUCCCCCAGAUUACUAUGGCUAUGAAGAUUAUUAUGAUGAUUAUUAUGGUUAUGACUAUCAUGACUACCGUGGUGGCUAUGAAGAUCCCUAUUAUGGCUAUGACGAUGGCUAUGCUAUAAGAGGAAGAGGAGGAGGAGGAAGGGGUGGGAGAGGUGCCCCUCCACCACCUAGGGGGCGGGGAGCACCACCACCAAGAGGUAGAGCUGGAUAUUCACAGAGGGGGGCACCCAUGGGACCGCCAAGAGGAGCCAGGGGUGGGAGAGGGGGUCCUGCACAGCAGCAGAGAGGACGCGGUGCUCGUGGAGCCAGGGGCAACCGUGGGGGCAACGUAGGAGGCAAGAGAAAGGCAGAUGGGUACAACCAGCCUGAUUCCAAGCGCCGUCAGACCAACAACCAGCAGAACUGGGGCUCCCAACCCAUCGCUCAACAGCCGCUCCAGCAAGGUGGUGACUAUGCCGGGAAGCGUGGUUGAGGCUGACCUGACAUGUCAUGAUGUCGACUUGCUAGGUGGGGUUCGCAAGGGACAUUAACCUUGGAGUUAUCGAUGAUGAAGGAAAGACACUGUGAUGGGCACUAAAGCAUGGACUUGCAGUGUGAACUCUGAUGGCAGGUACUUGUGUCUAGUCCUGGUGGUCUGACGUAUCUGGGGAAGGCUUAGGUGCCGUGUGUCUCUUGGCCGUGGUUUUCUCUGUUCUCAAUUUAUUAAUUUCAGCAUUGAUAGAAAUGUUUGUUUGUCUUUUAUAGCAUAUCCAAGAGCUGUGCUGCAACAGAGAAGUAAAUGUAAAACGUACCAUGGAUAAACUGUCUUCUAGAAGAACCUCGGCAUCUGCCUGUCAUGGCAAGUGAUCUGAGCAGUGACUUACCCGUGUUAGCAGUUUCAGGUGGGUGUGUUAUAUGUAUUUGCAGUCUUUUCUCUUGUUCUGUGCAGUGUACUAGAAACUGCACGUGCCUUGUAUAAUUUGUUUCCUACCCGGUCCUCUUGUAAUGUCCAGUUUUUCUAAUAAACACCUUUUGAAGUCAUUGCUUUGUGGUUGUUUUCCAAGGGUCUGAGUGUUCCCAUGUGUUGCUUGUCCUCAGUGACAUAUUCUCUUUGGAUCAUGCAGGGAAGAGGAGAAGAGAAACUCAAUCACUUCCUUUGGGUGGCAACUUUAUUAUAAGCUGCCAGGUCAAAAUGCAAGACCUUUUCUAAUAGUUUCUCUGUUUUGAGUAUUUUCUUGGAGUGUCCUGAUGCUUCAGAUCAGACAGAAAACCAAUUUAAGCAAACUUGAAGAAACUUCUCAUGAAGCAAAAUUAAUUCCGAAUGUUUGUUUGGAAAACAAUGAUGAAACAAAUUGGAAGUUGUGAUCUUGUGAUUUUAUUCCUGUGAAGUGCCAAGUCCUGCAGGAAACUUCAGCCAUAUGAGGUUGAGAGUUA